GAUAGCGUAGCACAAUUGGUAGUGCGACAGGCUCAUAACUUGGAGGUUAAAGGUUCAAAUCCUUUCGCUAUUU
rnacentral:tRNA from 1 species